rnacentral:lncRNA from 1 species
GGGCGAGCUCGGGCGGAGAGAACUCCGAGGCCGGCUCGCCCCAGGCCGCGGCCAUGGGAGGAGUGGAGGCUGCCGGGGGAGACCCGCUGCUCGGGGUGGUUUUGAAAUAGCGAGGAAGUUGAUCUGGGCUCCCGACCAAGGAGCGAGAGGGAGAGAGGAAAGGGGGAGCCGGGAGGAGCCAGGAUCAUGCACUCGGCUUGUUGAAGCCCAGCAGGCCAGACGGGGAUGCCUGCGAGGAGAGGCGACCCCGGUGCAGAGCGCUAAGGGGGGAAGUGUUGGCACGGAGGGGGCUGUGGGGCCUUUCCCAUCCAGGGGCUGACCAGCCUCCCUUCCCGUGUGUUCCUCGCCCCAGAACCCGCUUGCUUGGACCCCUGUGAGAGGACCAUGAAAGAAGAAGACCUCAUUGGAGAGGACGACGACAUGCCAUCCUUCCGAUACAGACCAGACGGCAGGACACGGACCAACUGCAGCCGGUGCCAGAAGAAUCUGUCGCUCCAGACCUCCGUCAAAGGGCUGUACGUCUUCUGUGUCUUGCUGAUCAUCGCCGUGAUGGUGCUGGCGUCCCUGGGUAAGCGCAGCCUCGGGGGACCCGACUCCCUUUUCCUUCCUGCCUGCCCCUCCCCAGGAAACACGAG